rnacentral:lncRNA from 1 species
AUCGCAGACCAACAGAACAUUCCAUCGCUACUAUAGUCUUCUGCUACACCGGUUUCAGCAGAUUUUGAGCUAUCUUUUCCCUUUCGAUCACUCUUUUCUUCGGUCUGUUCCUUCCUUUUCAAUUUGAAACAGUCCUCCUUAAUGUGGCCCUUCUUCUUACAGUAAUUACAGAUCAAAUUCUUAUGCCUGGAUUUAGAUCUAGCCUUUUCUUUACUGUCACCAUAAUUUCUCUGCUUGGAUCUUCCUCUG